rnacentral:rRNA from 1 species
CCUACGGGAGGCAGCAGUGGGGAAUAUUGGACAAUGGGCGAAAGCCUGAUCCAGCAAUGCCGCGUGAGUGAUGAAGGCCUUAGGGUUGUAAAGCUCUUUUACCAGGGAUGAUAAUGACAGUACCUGGAGAAUAAGCUCCGGCUAACUCCGUGCCAGCAGCCGCGGUAAUACGGAGGGAGCUAGCGUUGUUCGGAAUUACUGGGCGUAAAGCGUACGUAGGCGGUUAUUCAAGUCAGAGGUGAAAGCCUGGAGCUCAACUCCAGAACUGCCUUUGAAACUAGAUAGCUAGAAUCUUGGAGAGGUGAGUGGAAUUCCGAGUGUAGAGGUGAAAUUCGUAGAUAUUCGGAAGAACACCAGUGGCGAAGGCGACUCACUGGACAAGUAUUGACGCUGAGGUACGAAAGCGUGGGGAGCAAACAGGAUUAGAUACCCUGGUAGUCCACGCCGUAAACGAUGAUAACUAGCUGUUCGGGCUCUACGAGCUUGAGUGGCGCNGCUACGCAUAAGUUAUCCGCCGUCGGGAGGUACGGUCGCGAGAUAAACUACAANAGAGUAGAGCGNGAGAGUGCGACGACGACGACGAGGGAGGAGG